GACGAACGCUGGCGGCGUGCUUAACACAUGCAAGUCGAGCGGUAAGGCCCUUUCGGGGGUACACGAGCGGCGAACGGGUGAGUAACACGUGGGUGACCUGCCCUCAGCUCUGGGAUAAGCCUGGGAAACUGGGUCUAAUACUGGAUAUGACUCCACGGUGCAUGUCGUGGGGUGGAAAGCCUUGUGCGGCUGAGGAUGGGCCCGCGGCCUAUCAGCUUGUUGGUGGGGGUGANGGCCUACCAAGGCGACGACGGGUAGCCGGCCUGAGAGGGCGACCGGCCACACUGGGACUGAGACACGGCCCAGACUCCUACGGGAGGCAGCAGUGGGGAAUCUUGCGCAAUGGGCGAAAGCCUGACGCAGCGACGCCGCGUGAGGGAUGACGGCCU
rnacentral:rRNA from 1 species